AGGUCGUACACACCACCUCUUUCCUAUCUAGCGAAUUGAACUUGGUGUAUAUCCAUUUGCAAAGGAGCAGGUGAGAGGAUGAAACAUCGCGCCCAACAUUUCCUCAUCUCAGCGUUGCUGACCAAGGUGGUGGCCGGGUGGAUUUUUGAGACCUCCGGGCCGGGGGCCAAGGAGAUCAUCGACGUGGCCUUCUGGAACAACCGGGCGUUCCUCUGCAUGUCGGACAAGAUGGCGCCGCCGAAGCCGGACAAAAAUGGGACCGACGCCAAUGCGGUGAGCAAGGCGCCGCCGCGGAAAUCAACUACCUCGGCUCGGCCAUAUUCGAGGCGCCUUGGCCGGAGGACGCCACCCAGAGCUGGGGACUCAAGGCCCUCAAAAUCGAAGCCCAGGAGCUUGAAAGUGAGUGUAUGAAGUUGAAGGCGGCGGUAGCAAUCGACAUCGAUGCGAGAGGACGGAUGUUUACACUGCUCCUAGGAUCCAAAAAUUGUCAUCCCAGGAUCGCUGUCAUCGACUUAGUUGUAAACCGACAGGUUUCGCGGACGGAACUAACCAACGCUCCGAGGCUAACUUUGCGCUCUCUUGUGGUGGACUAUCUCAACUCGGACACGCGGGUUUACAUCGGAGGCGUCACCGACAAUCUUCUGAUCGUGUACAGCUUCAAGGAGGAACUUUGGUGGAGGGUUAAACUGGAGUCCACCGGAGCCGCGCUGCCGACCUCUCCCCCCGUUCCCACGGCACACCUCGCCCUCGCCAAAAGAGAGGGCCUUCUCUACAUGACGUCAUCCAAUAGCCAGUUCUUAUUUUCCAUGAGCUUGGAGCAACUUAGUGACAUCGACAAAGCUGAUGGCAAAUCCGAGUGCUCGCAGAACCGGACCCUAAGUCCAAAGCUGGUCGGCGAGAAGCUGGGAAAAUCAGCGGGGUUGAUGUCGGACUCGCGGGGCGGUCUCAUAUACUCUUUGCUCCGGGACUACGCCGUUGUCAGGUGGACCACGCAUGCGCCCCUCGUCGCCGAAAACCACGAGGUCCUCAUCCAGUCCGCCGACCUCCUCCCCGACGUUCGCCAGAUCUUCAAGGACUCCCAGAAGAACGUCUGGGCCCUCAACGGACUCCGCAACGAGGAAGGCUCUUAUUGCACCCGAAUCCUCAAGCUAAACUGAGCUACCAAGUCUGAAAAUUUUGUACUUUUUUAUACGUUGGAUUUUUUAAUUUUAAUAAUAAAAUUAGGUAAUUUACCAAUUUUUUUGUCUGUUCGACUCUAAAUGGAGGAAAACGAAUCGUUGAGCUUACAAUGCUCAUGUUGCAUUCCAGGUUCUUUCUACUUGUCUGGAAUUUACUUCUGAAGGCUGUAAUGAACAUUAUUCCUUAGCAUCUUCAUUAUCGCAUCUUCUUAAACUAAAUUUGAUUUAAAACAGCUGUAAAUAUAUUUUAUAUUUAUUUUAACAAUUAACAAUCAACAGAGAUACAAACCCACAUACAUGCGAUAAACCCAAUAUUACUACCAAAAUUCAGAGACUCUUCACCUCUCUUAAUUUAAAAAUCUAAAUUUUCGUAUAUACUCCCAUUUUCAAAAUUAUCUGUAAAGACGUUAAUAGCCUGAGACGCUGAGUGUCUUAAAAUAUACUAACUGACUAACUAAAUUUAAAUAUAAAUUUAAUUUUAAUUUAAAAGUUAGAAAUUGUCUUAAAUGUAUAUAAAUCUGAAAGACACAACUAGAAAUUUAACAUUUAGAAUUUAGAAACUAGAGCAAUCUGCUACAAGAAUGCAUUUAAAUUCCAGCUAAUUAGGUGCCAGCAGUUGCGGUUAAAUCUAAAGUUAACUAACUAUGCGUCUAGAUGAAUUAUACCGAUUAAACAUAUAUCAAUAAAACAAAUCGUAAAUAAGUAAAAAAUUUUAAAAUUUAAAAGAUCUUAUCAAUUAAAAUUUACAUUUCUGUUGAAGAGUAAAAAUUCUGUUUAAAUUUCUGUUCUAAUAAAGAGUAAUUGUGAACACAUUUAUGUGUAAAAAUGGAAGAUCACCGCGAAGGAGGUUCUACACUGGCUGCGUCGGAGCGAAACUGAAGCGCCUUCAAUUUUCAAGUAUGCAAUUUUGAUAUCCGUGGAACACGAAUAGUUGCAUCAAUGCGCUUAGAUUAAUACCGCGCCGUAAUGGAGAUGUUGCAUGUGAGAG
rnacentral:lncRNA from 1 species